rnacentral:lncRNA from 1 species
ACAGUUUUCAUUUAUCCUUGGUCAUGGAUAUAGAUCUACGGGGAAAAUUAAUUGUUUCUAUUUAUUCUAUCCUAGUUACAAUAAUCCUUAACUUUAAGUAUUGUACCUCCCUUUUUCUUAGUACUUAGAGUAGAAAACCAGAGAAGCAAAUCCAUUUAUUUUACUAGAAAGAAAAUUCUUACUUGUUUUAUCUAGAACCAUGAAAAAGAAGUGGUAUCACAAAUCUGCUUAGUUUUUUUGGACUUGAAGCGUAGAGUCGAAGGCUUUUGAGAUUCCACAAUGCUUGGGAGAAAAUGUGGAUGUCUCCAGGGAGGCCAUACCUAAUGAGGAGCUCCCAACAAAUGGCAACUGAUGUUACCUACAACCGAAUACGUCAAGAAGGAAACACACUCGCUUCAGCCUGCACCAACCAAAAUGACUGCUCAAAGGCCAUUCAGCCCCUUUAUCACUGUGGCUCAACUUUGAUUUUCUUCCCAGUUCAUCCAUGAUUCAGACUUCUUCUGUUUCAGGAGCUUUGCCCAUGCGUUCUGCCACCUUCUGCCAGGAAUUACACCUGUCCCAUCCCGUCGUCUCCUGAAUGUCCAGAGACAGGGGUCUCCCCGUGUUGUCCAGAACGGUCUUGAACUCCUGGUCUUCAAGCAAUCUUCCUGCCUUGGUCUCUCAAAGUGCUGGGAUUACAAGUGUGAGCCACCAUACCCGGUCAUAGCGCUCUUAUAAAAUGCAUCAUCACAUUUAUUUUAUAAAUUCAGAAACAAAAGUCUGUAUAGAGAAGUUUUGAAGUUACUAGGGACCUGAAAAUCAUACUGAAGAUGUCUGCAACUAAAAACUCGAAGAGUUCCGAGGCUAGAGGGGUCAGGAGAUGAAUAAAAACGUUAGCCCCAGCUGAUCACAAUGAGGUUAAUCACAAUACUAAUUAAAAAUACUACAGAUCCUAGGACAAUGGUCAGAAGAGUGACUAUACUUUCCUGUUUGCCCUUGGAAAAUCGAGGGCUGACUUUUCUACGUGCUCAGAUAACCUAAAUUGAUAGAGAGAAAGCUAGCAGAGGAUAAGAUAAACUAGUUAACUGUAAAUAAGAUUUUGCUGUUGGAGAAUCUUCUUGUUGCUCUGGUUUUAGAUAGCGGAGGAAGCCAAAAAAUAUCUGCUUUAAGUUACCAGGAGUUGAAGUUCAUCCCUGCUGAAGUUAACAGGUUGCUUCCCUUUUUCUGGUGUAUUCUUACUUUACUGGCAAAGAGAAAAUAAAUUAAUACCUUAUUGUUAAAA